rnacentral:rRNA from 1 species
AGAGUUUGAUCAUGGCUCAGAUUGAACGCUGGCGGCAGGCCUAACACAUGCAAGUCGAGCGGUAGCACAGAGAGCUUGCUCUCGGGUGACGAGCGGCGGACGGGUGAGUAAUGUCUGGGAAACUGCCUGAUGGAGGGGGAUAACUACUGGAAACGGUAGCUAAUACCGCAUAACGUCGCAAGACCAAAGUGGGGGACCUUCGGGCCUCAUGCCAUCAGAUGUGCCCAGAUGGGAUUAGCUAGUAGGUGGGGUAACGGCUCACCUAGGCGACGAUCCCUAGCUGGUCUGAGAGGAUGACCAGCCACACUGGAACUGAGACACGGUCCAGACUCCUACGGGAGGCAGCAGUGGGGAAUAUUGCACAAUGGGCGCAAGCCUGAUGCAGCCAUGCCGCGUGUGUGAAGAAGGCCUUCGGGUUGUAAAGCACUUUCAGCGGGGAGGAAGGCGGUAAGGUUAAUAACCUUGUCGAUUGACGUUACCCGCAGAAGAAGCACCGGCUAACUCCGUGCCAGCAGCCGCGGUAAUACGGAGGGUGCAAGCGUUAAUCGGAAUUACUGGGCGUAAAGCGCACGCAGGCGGUCUGUCAAGUCGGAUGUGAAAUCCCCGGGCUCAACCUGGGAACUGCAUUCGAAACUGGCAGGCUAGAGUCUUGUAGAGGGGGGUAGAAUUCCAGGUGUAGCGGUGAAAUGCGUAGAGAUCUGGAGGAAUACCGGUGGCGAAGGCGGCCCCCUGGACAAAGACUGACGCUCAGGUGCGAAAGCGUGGGGAGCAAACAGGAUUAGAUACCCUGGUAGUCCACGCCGUAAACGAUGUCGAUUUGGAGGUUGUGCCCUUGAGGCGUGGCUUCCGGAGCUAACGCGUUAAAUCGACCGCCUGGGGAGUACGGCCGCAAGGUUAAAACUCAAAUGAAUUGACGGGGGCCCGCACAAGCGGUGGAGCAUGUGGUUUAAUUCGAUGCAACGCGAAGAACCUUACCUGGUCUUGACAUCCACAGAACUUUCCAGAGAUGGAUUGGUGCCUUCGGGAACUGUGAGACAGGUGCUGCAUGGCUGUCGUCAGCUCGUGUUGUGAAAUGUUGGGUUAAGUCCCGCAACGAGCGCAACCCUUAUCCUUUGUUGCCAGCGGUUCGGCCGGGAACUCAAAGGAGACUGCCAGUGAUAAACUGGAGGAAGGUGGGGAUGACGUCAAGUCAUCAUGGCCCUUACGACCAGGGCUACACACGUGCUACAAUGGCAUAUACAAAGAGAAGCGACCUCGCGAGAGCAAGCGGACCUCAUAAAGUAUGUCGUAGUCCGGAUUGGAGUCUGCAACUCGACUCCAUGAAGUCGGAAUCGCUAGUAAUCGUAGAUCAGAAUGCUACGGUGAAUACGUUCCCGGGCCUUGUACACACCGCCCGUCACACCAUGGGAGUGGGUUGCAAAAGAAGUAGGUAGCUUAACCUUCGGGAGGGCGCUUACCACUUUGUGAUUCAUGACUGGGGUGAAGUCGUAACAAGGUAACCGUAGGGGAACCUGCGGUUGGAUCACCU